rnacentral:rRNA from 1 species
UAAGAAAGCAGAUCGCAUGAUCAGCUUUUAAAAGGACGGCGUAAAGCUGUCGCUAUGGGGAUGGCCUCGCGGUGCAUUAGCUAGUUGGUAAGGUAAAGGCUUACCAAGGCGAUGAUGCAUAGCCGAGUUGAGAGACUGAUCGGCCACAUUGGGACUGAGACACGGCCCAAAAACUCCUACGGGAGGCAGCAGUAGGGAAUCUUCCACAAUGGACGCAAGUCUGAUGGAGCAACGCCGCGUGAGUGAAGAAGGUUUUCGGAUCGUAAAGCUCUGUUGUUGGUGAAGAAGGAUAGAGGUAGUAACUGGCCUUUAUUUGACGGUAAUCAACCAGAAAGUCACGGCUAACUACGUGCCAGCAGCCGCGGGUAAU